CCCACCUCACCUCCGCCCGCCGCCACCGCCUCUGCCCCGGCUAUAAAGGUCCGCCCUUUGGCCGGCCCGCUCCUCCUCUCUUCGUCCGGGCCGCGCCUCUCGCCUCCUUCCUUCGUCCUCGGUUUGUCCGGGCCACGCCCUUUGGCCGUACCUCCGCGUGACGGACUCCGUGCCGGCCUCCGAUUCCAAAUCCAUCCGCCCUGCUCCCUCUGCCUCUGCGGUGCUCGGCCAAGAAGCAGGCGACCGGCGGCGGGGGCACCAGCGUCGUGAGCCAGCUGCGCGCGCUCGUCGCCGCGCGGUGCGUCGAGGUGGAGGGCAGGGGGGCGGUGGUGCCCGUCGCCGCCUGGUCCGGGUGGGAGUUCCCGCGGUCGCGCUCUGCCGCCGCCGCCGCCGCCGCCGCCGUGUUCAAGAUCGUCUUCUUCGGGUCGACCCGCCCUUCCGAGGCAAUGUGUAGAGCCUCUCCUCCUCUCGCGUCUGGUGCGGCAAUUUGUCCUCGAUUCCUGCCUCUCCUCCUCUGUCCUCGCUCGAUUCGUCCGCUUAGACUAGAAGAAUCGCGUCUGAUUUGUUUCAUUUUGCUCGUCCUCGUCACCCAUUUAGAAUCGCUUCUGAAUUGAUUUUGCUCGCCCUCGCCGUCGUCGUCAGUUUAGAGUCGCAUGUGAUUUGAUUUUUUGCUCGUCGUCGCCGUAGCCCUGAUGCUCUCGCGUGUUCUUGGCGCCGUCUCGUCCGGGGGUCUUCGUCCCUGCGACUCUCGGAGGAAGUGACCGAGCGGUCGGUCGGUUUGGGUCACCGUCUGCUUGAGAAACUUGUGCGUUCGCUUCUGUUAUCUGCCUGCGUUUCGUGUUCACGUCGCCCCGACGGUUGCAGGAACGAUUGGUUCUGGUUUCGAAAUUGGAGCAGUGUCAAAUGGCUCCCUCUGUUCCAUCACCUGCGUUGUUCGUCGGUUGAUUUCAGAUCUCAAACGCAUGCGCCCUUGUGAUACUCUGGUUGCCCUCUGUCGAUUCUUGUUCUACCGGCAGGCGUGUGUGCUCCCAUCGUAGAUGCAGAUAAUCUUGUUCUUGUCUGUUACGGUUGUUCUGAUGCUGUUCGUUUCAAUUGUUUAGUGUUACAUCAUGCUCUGCUUAUGUUCCCAUAUGGCACGAUUGACUGAUUGAUUGUUGUUUGUUGUUUGAUUGAUUGCCUUGAGAUGGAUUGUUGUUUGUUGUUUGAUUGAUUGUCUUGAGAUGGAUUGUUGUUUGUUGUUUGACUGAUUGCCUUGAGAUGGAUUGUUGUUUGUUGUUUGAUUGAUUGCUUGCCUUGAGAAGGUACAAACCAUGUAGGCUAGUUGCUUGUUGUUUGUUGCCUUGAGAUGGUACAUGUUUAUAUGGGACGAUUGAUUACUGUUUGUGUAUGGUUAUUAAGGUUGAUUGAUUGAUUGUUGUUUGUUGAUUGAUUGAUGUUUGUUGACUGGUAUCUGACUUUGGUAACGGUAGUUCCUGAUCAUAGGUAACAGACCUAGUGCUAUUCUUUUUUCUGAACUUUUUUGUGAUUAUUAUGCCUUCACAUUGCACUGCUCCCAGAUCCAUAUCGACAUGCCCACGCUGUCUGAUGAGGAUAAAGAUGUUAUGAAAAAAUGGGGAAAGCAAGAUUGACUUCUUCUCUCUUUCUUAUACAAGGAAUGCAGAAGAUGUGCGGCAAGCACUGGAGUUCCUCUCAAAGUUAGGUGAUCUUAGCCAAACUCUGAUAUUUGCCAAAAUUUAGAGUGUAGAGGGCUUGAACCAUUUUGAUGAGAUACUGGAAGAAGCAGAUGGUAUAAUUCUGUCAAGAGGAAACCUUGGAAUUGAUCUUUCACCUGAAAAGGUGUUGUUAUUUUAGAAGUCUGCUCUGCACAAGUGCAACAUGGCUGGAAAGUCUAUUGCUUCCUCUGAAGUGCGGGUUGCUAUCAAAGUUAAGGCUUCGGUCAUCAUUUGCUUCACCUCAUCUGGACGGGCUGCAAGGCUAAUUGCCAAGUACAGGUCCACCAUGGCAUUCCUCGUCUAAAAACAAAUCAAUUGAAGUGGAGCUUCACAAGCGCAUUUGAAGCAAGACAAUCACUCAUAGUUAGAGACCUCUUUCCCAUGCUUGCUGAUCCACGUCACCCGGCUGAAUCUACUAGCAGUACAAAUGAAUUCACUGUUGAAGGUUGCUCUUACCUUAGCCAGAAUUUCUAUAAGAAUGUUGCUCAUGUUACAUGCCUUCCUUUCUCUAGUAAGUAGAACAAGAAUACAUUUAACAUUUCUUUUAUGUCCAUAUGCGUACGCUCAUGAUAUUUUGAAGUACAAACCAAAUUCUAAAUAAAUAAGCAUGCGUCUGUGUGCCUACAAACUUGUGGGUAGUGAUCAAGAUAAUCACUUAACCAGCCUCUAACUAGCUUCCUAUUUUCAGGAACGAAGAUCUGAAUCACCCUCACCCCUCUAGAGAGAUUAGUUUACUCAUUCAAGUUCUGGAAUUCUUUAUAGCUUUUUGAGUUUACUUCGGUCUUGCAUGUAUUAGCUUUCUGUUUGUGCCCUAUCUAUAUCUGUUUCUUGUGUGCAAGCGCUCCUGUGUGACUCUGUGUGGCUUGACUCUGUGUGUGGCUUGACUGUGGGUGGCUUGACUGUGUGGCUUGACUGUGUGUGUGACUGUG